GGCGCACGGGUGCGUAACGCGUGGGAAUCUGCCCUUAGGUUCGGAAUAACAGUUGGAAACGACUGCUAAUACCGGAUGAUGACGUAAGUCCAAAGAUUUAUCGCCUAGGGAUGAGCCCGCGUAGGAUUAGCUAGUUGGUGUGGUAAAGGCGCACCAAGGCGACGAUCCUUAGCUGGUCUGAGAGGAUGAUCAGCCACACUGGGACUGAGACACGGCCCAGACUCCUACGGGAGGCAGCAGUGGGGAAUAUUGGACAAUGGGCGAAAGCCUGAUCCAGCAAUGCCGCGUGAGUGAUGAAGGCCUUAGGGUUGUAAAGCUCUUUUACCCGGGAUGAUAAUGACAGUACCGGGAGAAUAAGCUCCGGCUAACUCCGUGCCAGCAGCCGCGGUAAUACGGAGGGAGCUAGCGUUAUUCGGAAUUACUGGGCGUAAAGCGCACGUAGGCGGCUUUGUAAGUAAGAGGUGAAAGCCUGGUGCUCAACACCAGAACUGCCUUUUAGACUGCAUCGCUUGAAUCCAGGAGAGGUGAGUGGAAUUCCGAGUGUAGAGGUGAAAUUC
rnacentral:rRNA from 1 species